rnacentral:rRNA from 1 species
GAGGAAUAUUGGGCAAUGCCCGAAAGGGUGACCCAGCAACGCCGCGUGGAGGAUGAAGGUCGUAAGAUUGUAAACUCCUGUUAGAGGGGAAGAAUAACUAAGUUUGGAGCUUAGUAUGACUGUACCCUCAGAGAAAGCCCCGGCUAACUACGUGCCAGCAGCCGCGGUAAUACGUAGGGGGCAAGCGUUGUCCGGAUUUACUGGGUGUAAAGGGCGCGCAGGCGGAAUGGAAAGUCAGUGGUGAAAUCCUACAGCUUAACUGUAGAACUGCCUUUGAUACUUUCAUUCUUGAGUUCGGGAGAGAGAGACGGAAUUCCAGGUGUAGGGGUGAAAUACGUAGAUAUCUGGAAGAACACCAGUUGCGAAGGCGGUCUCUUGGUCCGAUACUGACGCUGAGGCGCGAAAGCGUGGGGAGCAAACA